UCUACGGAGCCAGGCUUGUCUGCUCAUUCACGGACGUCAGUACACACCUGUCAGGCCUCGGAAGAGACCGGAACAAAGAGUGUACUCGAUACAGACCAGCUGAAUGAAUGGAUUCCUCAUCUGUACGCCACACAAAGGUAAAAACAGUCUUAGGAAAAACCACAGUUCUCUCUUGACCAUUUGGGCUGAAUGGGAUGGACUGAUGCCUUGUUCUGAACCGUCUGCCUCGCCUCCUGCCCUGGGAUUUGUCUUUGAAAGACAAUCCACAAGACAAACUGUGCCCUUCAUCCAUUUUCAAAGGCCUCAUUUGCCUGUCAGCUGCCCUACUUCAGUACUCGAUGGGAGGAUCGAAAGUGGGAGUAACUGAAAACUCAAAUUCUCCACCUUCAGAAACACGGGUUGUAGCAGUAAUAACGUGUUAAUAAAUACAGCAGCAUUCUGAAACCACAACAAAAGGGAACACUCCGAUCACAAACACGUCUAAAAUACAUUGUGAUACAUCUGAUGCUUGAGAACACAAACCAGAACAAGCUACCUUCUGACCUUCAGAUGGCUACUGACCAACGACGGACGAGAGCCUCGAACAGUAUGAGCACCCUAGGAGAAGCAAUUCUGUCGCCAGUAUGUGAGGACGACUCAAAAAACCAAAACAACAAUAAGAAACCUAGCGCUUUGUAACUUG